rnacentral:miRNA from 1 species
UUGAACCGCUUACCUCCU